AUGGUUCAACCACCUCGUUCGAUCCCCCCGCCUCGUACGACAGCCAUCGCGCGGUGUCCCACACGCCCGCACAAAAUCCAUCCCGCAAGCCCAAAAAAAACAAGGGCAACUCAUCCGAUAUUCGGCCCAUGGACCACCAGUCAAACGAGCCAAACCCCACGAUCACACGCCCAGCCAACAAACAAAACAGUUCAGCAACCCACGAACGAGGUCCAUCUACCAAAAAAAAAAAUCUACCAAAAAUCAAACCAUCGAACGAGCUCCAUCGACCCGCCAACGCACGUCGCCACCAGGGACAGAAACGCCAGUUCUUCCUCGCGUAGGAGCUCCAUCGACCCAGCUGUGCAAUCAGCACAACUAGACCGCAACCUCGGCGUCCGAACCACAACCUUCGCUCGACGGCUGUUGCGAGGCGACGGCUGUUGCUGCAAAGGACGGAGAUCCACCUUUGUUAUGUUCAACGGUGCCCAUCAUGCCCUAGGUUUGCCAUCAUCAAUUGUUUCAGCAAUGUAG
rnacentral:rRNA from 1 species